CACGUAGUUAGCCGGGGCUUCUUACUCAGGUACCGUCUUUUUUCUUCCCUGCUGAUAGAGCUUUACAUACCGAAAUACUUCUUCACUCACGCGGCGUCGCUGCAUCAGGGUUUCCCCCAUUGUGCAAUAUUCCCCACUGCUGUCUCCCGUAGGAGUUUGGGCCGUGUCUCAGUCCCAAUGUGGCCGGUCACCCUCUCAGGCCGGCUACCGAUCGUCGCCUUGGUGGGCUCUUAUCCCGCCAACUAGCUAAUCGGACGCGGGUCCAUCGUAUACCACCGGAGUUUUUCGCACCCGGCCAUGCGGCCUUUGUGCGCUUAUGCGGUUUUAGCACCUAUUUCUAAGUGUUAUCCCCCUGUAUACGGCAGGUUGCCCGCGCGUUACUCACCCGUCCGCCACUCGUGAGAGCUUCACUAGGUUUCCGCUCUCACCCGUUCGACUUGCAUGCGUUAAGCACGCCGCCAGCGUUCAUCCUGAGCCACGGAUCAAACUC
rnacentral:rRNA from 1 species